rnacentral:rRNA from 1 species
AUACGGAGGGUGCAAGCGUUAUCCGGAAUCACUGGGUUUAAAGGGUGCGUAGGCGGCUCAAUCAGUCAGGGGUGAAAUCUUGCAGCUUAACUGUAAAAUUGCCUUUGAUACUGUUGAGCUUGAAUUAGGUUGAGGUUGGCGGAAUGUGACAUGUAGCGGUGAAAUGCAUAGAUAUGUCAUAGAACACCAAUUGCGAAGGCAGCUGGCUAGACCUUAAUUGACGCUGAGGCACGAAAGCGUGGGGAGCGAACAGGAUUAGAUACCCCAGUAGUCC